AGCGAACGCUGGCGGCAGGCCUAACACAUGCAAGUCGAACGGAUCCUUCGGGAUUAGUGGCGGACGGGUGAGUAACACGUGGGAACGUGCCCUUUGGUUCGGAACAACUCAGGGAAACUUGAUCUAAUACCGGAUGUGCCCUUCGGGGGAAAGAUUUAUCGCCAUUGGAGCGGCCCGCGUCUGAUUAGCUAGUUGGUGAGGUAACGGCCCACCAAGGCGACGAUCAGUAGCUGGUCUGAGAGGAUGAUCAGCCACACUGGGACUGAGACACGGCCCAGACUCCUACGGGAGGCAGCAGUGGGGAAUAUUGCGCAAUGGGCGAAAGCCUGACGCAGCCAUGCCGCGUGAAUGAUGAAGGUCUUAGGAUUGUAAAAUUCUUUCAGCGGGGACGAUAAUGACGGUACCCGCAGAAGAAGCUCCGGCUAACUUCGUG
rnacentral:rRNA from 1 species